rnacentral:tRNA from 1 species
GGUUGUGUAGCUCAGUGUUAGAGCAUUUAUCUAGAGUGUGAGAAGCCCUGGGUUCAAUCCCCAACGUCAUUA